AUACGGAGGGUCCGAGCGUUAAUCGGAAUUACUGGGCGUAAAGCGCGCGUAGGCGGAUAUUUAAGUCAGAUGUGAAAUCCCUGGGCUCAACCUAGGAACUGCAUUUGAAACUGGAUAUCUAGAGUAUGGUAGAGGUGAGUGGAAUUUCAGGUGUAGCGGUGAAAUGCGUAGAGAUCUGAAGGAACAUCAGUGGCGAAGGCGACUCACUGGGCCAUUACUGACGCUGAGGUGCGAAAGCGUGGGUAGCAAACAGGAUUAGAAACCCGGGUAGUCC
rnacentral:rRNA from 1 species